UUCAGAGCUCCUGGGGAAGCAGACACGUGGAUUGUCCAGAGAGCCUCCAGAGGCAACAGCUGCUUGAUUACAAAUGAUGAGCGUAACUAGCGCUUCUUACUGUGUAGAGAAGUUAAAUAAGGAAACAAAAUCACAAAAUUGCCCAUGAGAAAUUAGGCAGGCAGGAAGUGCUAACCUCCUCAGCCAGUAAUUCAAAGUCCAUUCUGGAAAUCCAAAUCAUUAGCUUCUUCAUUGCCAGAAAUUUGGUUUCCACCCACGUCAUUCAAGGGACACUUCAGUUCCAAAGGUCACCUGUAAACGGCUAAGGGUCAAGUUCAGCAGCCUUUCUCAUUGCUCACUUUUCUCAAGUGUGUUUGCAACUCUAGACACCAUUAAAUGCCUGUCUUUUGUUUUUUUGCCUAGUCUUGAAAUCUGUCUGUUGUUGGCUCUUAGUUUCCGUAAGCCCUCUGACAGUUCUGUUUUUCCUCUUUUCUUGUAAUUGUGGGGACUUCUCCAAGACCUGAGCUACGCUCCUGUGUUCUCCUCAAACUCCUAUCCAAGGCAUCAGCCCAUGCAGUGAACUUUAUUGAGCACAAUUCCAGUGGAGGCUAAUGAGGAGAAAAAAGUUAAACCCAAAGUCUACGGCCUGCACCACUGUGCCAUGAAUGUCUCAAGUGGAUCCUGACCCAGUUGGUGAAUAAUGGGAGAGAUUUUCUGAGAAACUACCAGGUGACCAUGUGCAAACUGGAACUCCUUUUACAGAUGAGAAAAAAGCUGAAAGAGGAAGAAGAAAAGGAAAAAUGAUUUGGUGAAAACAAAGCUGGUUUCUGGCACACAAGGCAAUGGUAAUUUAGGAUGGAUACAGCUGCUGAGGUUGAGAGCAGCUGGUGAUCACUGCACCGUUGGGUAAAGGGCACAGAAUGACACCAUCUACUAAAGCCACCCAGCUAAUGAGACAAAUGGCAGAAUUUGCUGAGUCAUGGACCACCUUGGCAGGAGGAAGAUUGCCAGAAGGAAAGAGUGAAUUUUUCUUCUUGAGAAAGCACUUUGUGCUCACUUUUGAGUCAUAUGUUCCAAAGGGAGUAUAUGUCCAAAAGGGGAGAUGGAGAGACUUUUUAAAAAUGUGUCUGUCUGAGGACAAUUAGCAUGAGGACACCUACCAUUUAAACUUUAACA